rnacentral:rRNA from 1 species
UACGGAGGGGGCUAGCGUUGUUCGGAAUUAUUGGGCGUAAAGGGCGCGUAGGCGGCCGAAUAAGUCUGACGUGAAAUCCCCCGGCCCAACCGGGGAACUGCGUUUGAUACUGUUUGGCUCGAGUCCGGGAGAGGGUAGUGGAAUUCCCAGUGUAGCGGUGAAAUGCGUAGAUAUUGGGAGGAACACCGGUGGCGAAGGCGGCUACCUGGACCGGUACUGACGCUGAGGCGCGAAAGCUAGGGUAGCAAACAGG